CACAUCAUAUUUCAAACACCGGCUCCUGUAAGAUUCCCGAAGUUAAGCAACGUCGAGCCUAGUCACUACCUAGAUGGGUGAGCGCUUGAGAAUACCAGGUGUUGUAAG